rnacentral:rRNA from 1 species
CACGUAUUUAGCCGGUGCUUCUUACUCAGGUACCGUCAUUUUUCUUCCCUGCUGAUAGAGCUUUACAUACCGAAAUACUUCUUCGCUCACGCGGCGUCGCUGCAUCAGGGUUUCCCCCAUUGUGCAAUAUUCCCCCACUGUUGCCUCCCGUAGGAGUUUGGGCCGUGUCUCAGUCCCAAUGUGGCCGGCCACCCUCUCAGGUCGGCUACUGAUCGUCGCCUUGGUGGGCCUCUCCCCCGCCAACUAGCUAAUCAGACGCGGGCCCAUCCCAUACCACCGGAGUUUUUCACACCAGGCCAUGCGGCCCUUGUGCGCUUAUGCGGUUUUAGCAGCCGUUUCCGGCUUGUUACUCCCCCUGUAGUGGGGCAGGUUCGCCCACGCGUUACUCACCCGUCCGCCACUCAGUCACUAAUUUCCUUCUUCCCCGAAGGUAAUACGUAAAAGAGUGCUUUCGUUCGACUUGCAUGUAGUUAGCGACGCCGCCA